rnacentral:rRNA from 1 species
GAUGAACGCUGGCGGCGUCCCUAAUACAUGCAAGUCGAGCGAACAGAUAAGGAGCUUGCUCCUUUGACGUUAGCGGCGGACGGGUGAGUAACACGUGGGUAACCUACCUAUAAGACUGGGAUAACUUCGGGAAACCGGAGCUAAUACCGGAUAACAUUUGGAACCGCAUGGUUCUAAAGUGAAAGAUGGUUUUGCUAUCACUUAUAGAUGGACCCGCGCCGUAUUAGCUAGUUGGUAAGGUAACGGCUUACCAAGGCGACGAUACGUAGCCGACCUGAGAGGGUGAUCGGCCACACUGGAACUGAGACACGGUCCAGACUCCUACGGGAGGCAGCAGUAGGGAAUCUUCCGCAAUGGGCGAAAGCCUGACGGAGCAACGCCGCGUGAGUGAUGAAGGGUUUCGGCUCGUAAAACUCUGUUAUUAGGGAAGAACAAAUGUGUAAGUAACUGUGCACGUCUUGACGGUACCUAAUCAGAAAGCCACGGCUAACUACGUG